AACGCGAAGAACCUUACCUGGGCUUGACAUGCAGCUGCGCGGGGGAUGAAAGUCCCCCUCCUUCGAGGGAGCUGCAACAGGUGCUGCAUGGCUGUCGUCAGUUCGUGCCGUGAGGUGUUUGGUUAAGUCCACCAACGAACGCAACCCCUAUGGUCCGUUGCCAGCGGGUAAAGCCGGGCACUCAGGUCACACUGCCUGUUACACGCAGGAGGAAGGUGGGGAUGACGUCAAGUCAGUAUGGCCCUUACGCCCAGGGCUGCACACGUGCUACAAUGGCCGGUACAGAGGGAUGCGAAGCCGCGAGGCGGAGCCAACCCCACAGAGCCGGCCCCAGUUCAGAUCGGGGUCUGCAACCCGACCCCGUGAAGUUGGAUAUGCUAGUAAAGGGGGGCUUGUUCGGGUU
rnacentral:rRNA from 1 species